GCUUAUUUUGCGCAGCUUAGGUGGGAGGCUAUGAACCUUUUCUUCUGGGAAGAGGGGAGCCGUCAGUGAGAUACCACUCUUGGUAAGCUAGAGCGCUCAGUCUUAACCGUCAUCCGGUAAGACGACAGUUUCAGGCGGGCAGUUUGACUGGGGCAGUCACCUCCCAAAAGGUAAUGGAGGUGUGCAAAGGUUCCCUCAGGCUGGACGGAAAUCAGCCAUAGAGUGUAAAAGCAAAAGGGAGCUUGACUGCGAGACUGACAUGUCAAGCAGAGACGAAAGUCGGCUUUAGUGAUCCGACGGUGCUGUGUGGAAAGGCCGUCGCUCAACGGAUAAAAGUUACUCUAGGGAUAAC
rnacentral:rRNA from 1 species